CUGUGCGGCACUCGGUCUUUGUAGUUGGAAAUGCAGGCACAGGAAAGAGUAAGAUUUUGAGAACACUGAACCGAACAUAUGUUAACAUGAAACAGAAGCCGGUUUGGAAUGACUUAAACCCUAAAGCUGUGACAACAGAUGAACUCUUUGGUUUCAUACAUCAUGCUACCCGAGAAUGGAAAGAUGGUCUCUUCUCAUCCAUUCUACGAGAACAAG
rnacentral:lncRNA from 1 species